rnacentral:rRNA from 1 species
UACGUAGGAUGCAAGCGUUGUCCGGAAUUAUUGGGCGUAAAGAGAACGUAGGCGGUUCCAUAAGUUCGGUUUUAAAGACCGGGGCUCAACCUCGGGAGUGGAUUGAAGACUGUGGGACUAGAGGAUGUCAGAGGAUGGUGGAAUUCCAAGUGUAGCGGUGAAAUGCGUAGAUAUUUGGAGGAACACCUGUGGCGAAAGCGGCCAUCUGGGGCAUUCCUGACGCUGAGGUUCGAAAGCUCGGGGAGCAAACAGG